rnacentral:tRNA from 1 species
GGACAUGUAGCACAGUGGUUGAGUGCAUAGGCUCAGAAGUCUGACUGUUCUGGGUUCUAGUCCCAGCUCUACCA